AUGGGCUACGGCCAGGGCGGCUACAGCGGCUCCUACGGCCAGAGCCAGAGCGGUGAGCGAUCCCAAAAACCUCGAAAUCCCCAAAAUCCCCAAAAAUCCUCGCCUUUCUACCCCGAAUCUGCAUCUUUGUACCCAAAACUGCCCCAAAUCUGCAUCUUUGUACCCAAAACUGCCCCAAAUCCGGGUGUUUGUACCCAAAACUGCCCAAAUCCCAGUGUUUGUACCCAAAACUGCCCAAAUCCGGGUGUUUGUACCCAAAACUGCCCAAAUCCGGGUGUUUGUACCCAAAACUGCCCCAAAUCCCAGUGUUUGUACCCAAAACUGCCCAAAUCCCAGUGUUUGUACCCAAAACUGCCCAAAUCCGGGUGUUUGUACCCAAAAACGAGCCCGGUGUUUGAUCACGCUGUUCUUCCCCACAUUCCCAUUUUUCCCAUUUUUUCCUCCUUUUCCCAUUUUCCCGUCAUUUUCCCGUUUUCCCGCCAUUUCUCUCCAUUUUCCCGCCGUUUUUUAACAUUUUUCCUGCCAUUUUCCCGUUUUCCCGCCGUUUCUCCCCAUUUUCCCGCCAUUUUCCUGUUUUCCCUCCAUUUUCCCGUUUUCCCGCCGUUUUUUAACAUUUUUCCCGCCAUUUUCCCGCUGUUUCUCCCCGUUUUCCCGCCAUUUUCCCGUUUUCCCGCCGUUUUCCCGUUUUCCCGCCAUUUUUUAACAUUUUUCCCGCCAUUUUUCCCAUUUUCCCGCCGUUUCUCCCCAUUUUCCCGUUUCCCCAUUUUCCCCACGUUCCCAUUUUUGACCAUUUUUACCAUUUUUUACCAUUUUUCCCGUUUUCCCGCCAUUUUCCCGUUUUCCCGCCAUUUUCCCGUUUUCCCUCCGUUUCUCCCCAUUUUCCCCAUUUCCCCAUUUUCCCCACAUUCCCAUUUUUUCCCAUAUUUACCAUUUUUUCCCAUUUUUACCAUUUUUCACCAUUUUUUCCCAUUUUCCCGCCCUUUCUCCCCAGGUUAUUCGGCGCCGGCGGCUCCUCCCUCCUACGGCUCCGGCGGCUUCGGCUCCGCCCAGAGCUCCCAGGGCAGCUACGGCCAGAGCUCAUCUUACCCUGGGUAUUCCCAGCCCCCUGCGGCUCCAUCCGCCUCAGCCAGUUACGGCAGCGGCUCCGGCAGCUCCAGCUACGGCCAAGCCCCGAGCGGGGGCUACAACCAACAGAGCGGGGGCUACAGCCAGCAGAGCUACGGGCAACAGUCGUCCUACAACCCUCCCCCGAGCUACAGCCAGCAGGGCCAGUACAGCUCCGGCGGCUCCGGAAGUUACUCCCAGGAUUCCUCGCUGAGCUCCGGGGGGUUCCAGGAGCCGGGCGGGAAUUUCGGAUCCUCGGAGCGCGGGCGCGGCCGCGGCGCCUUCGGCUCCCGGGGCGGCUUCGAGCGCGGGCGCGGCCGCGGCAACCGCGGGAACAUGGGCGGUGGUGAGCGUGGUGGCUUCAAUAAAUUUGGUGGUAAGUCCCAAAAAAAAAAACAAAAAUUUGAGGUUUUGACCCCUCCAAAAAGCGAAAAAAAAGGAAAAAAUUUGGAUUUUUUUCUAUUUUUUAUUUUUUUGUAAAAAGCGAAAAAAAAGGAAAAAAUUUGGAUUUUUUUCUAUUUUUUAUUUUUUUGUAAUUUUGUUUUUUUUUUCCCCCGUUUUUCCUGGAACAAAAAAGGAGUUUUAGGUGGAAAAAGGUGAUAAAAAAGCGAUUUUUUUGGGGAAAAAACGGUGAUGAAAAAGAGGUUUUUUGGGAAAAAAGGUGGAAAAAAAAGUUGGUUUUUGGGAAAAAAAAGGUGGUUUUUAGUUAAA
ensembl:lncRNA